CCUACGGGAGGCAGCAGUGGGGAAUUUUGGACAAUGGGCGAAAGCCUGAUCCAGCAAUGCCGCGUGAGUGAAGAAGGCCUUCGGGUUGUAAAGCUCUUUUGUCAGGGAAGAAACGGUGAAAGCUAAUAUCUUUUGCUAAUGACGGUACCUGAAGAAUAAGCACCGGCUAACUACGUGCCAGCAGCCGCGGUAAUACGUAGGGUGCAAGCGUUAAUCGGAAUUACUGGGCGUAAAGCGUGCGCAGGCGGUUUUGUAAGUCUGAUGUGAAAUCCCCGGGCUCAACCUGGGAAUUGCAUUGGAGACUGCAAGGCUAGAAUCUGGCAGAGGGGGGUAGAAUUCCACGUGUAGCAGUGAAAUGCGUAGAUAUGUGGAGGAACACCGAUGGCGAAGGCAGCCCCCUGGGUCAAGAUUGACGCUCAUGCACGAAAGCGUGGGGAGCAAACAGGAUUAGAUACCCUGGUAGUCCACGCCCUAAACGAUGUCUACUAGUUGUCGGGUCUUAAUUGACCUUGGUAACGCAGCUAACGCGUGAAGUAGACCGCCUGGGGAGUACGGUCGCAAGAUUAAAACNCAAAUGAAUUGACGG
rnacentral:rRNA from 1 species